GAAUACAGCUCCUAUAAACAAUCUCACAAGGGUGUUAGGGAGGGAAUCCGGACUAGUCAAAGCACUUAGAGAACUUGGAUUCAGGACUUAUGGAUUCUAUUGCUGCCUUUCCCAACGACUCACUGCACAACCCAAGAUGGAUUUCUUGGCCUUGACUUCACUGGGACCAGAAGCAAAUCACAGCACAGAUAAAAGGGAAGCAGCAGGCUGAGAGCCAUCUCUGGAUACAGACUGUCCUGCACAGCAAUGUGGUGUCGGGAAGGCACACAUUCCCCUGGAGGAGAAAGGGUUCAGUCAUGCUGAAAAUAGAUCCUUCUUGAGACAAUUAUCAGGCAGCUGCUCCCUUUCUGCCAGCCCUGGAGAUGUGUAUUUCCUUCUCCCCAUCCCAGUGGUUGGCUGAGGGACAGGGGCAGUGAGAAGGCACUUUUAGGUAGGCAGCAGCCCGGCCGGAGAGGGGAAGGGGAAGUGCCUGCAGAUGCUGUGUGUCAGCUGGUGGGAACCUCCAUCUCCUGCCUGUUCAGAGUCAUCAAGAUCAUGAACUGGAAAAACAAGAAUGUGCCUAUAUGGCAGGAGGUUUUGCAGUAGGAAAAGGAAUCUUUUCUUGGAGUCUGGUGAUCCAAAAUCUUUAACCACAGGAGCUACUCUCAAGCUCUCUGCUUUGUGCUCCCCUAACUAGGACAGAGGGCCCUCCAAGAGGAAGGAUGUUGGUGGAUAUGAAUAUGAGUGCUCUCACUGCAAAGAGUCACAGAAUCACAGAAUAUUCUGAGUGGGAAGGGACCUACAAGAAUCACUGAAUCCAGCUCUUAAGUGAAUAGCCCAUACGGGGAUCAAACACAACCUUGGUAUUAUUAGCACCAUGUUCUAACCAAAACCAGGGAGAAUCGAGUACUGUGUGGUGCUAGAAGUGGGGCCAGUGGAUUGUAGAAAGCUGUUCUCCCUUCUGCUUGACUCUGCUGAGUCCUCAUCUGAAAUGAUUUGUCCAGUUUUAGGUUCCCCAUUUCCAAAGGGAGGAGAACUAAAAGGUGAGAGUCCAGCAGGUGGCUGGCAAGAUGAGCAAGGGACUGGAAAACUUAUGCUGUGAAGAGAGUUCGAGAGUAUGGUUAGUUUGAGGGGGAAAGGGCUAAUGUACAUGAGGGGCAGCUACAAAGACAAUGUGCCAAACUUUUUUCCUGAACAGCAGACAAUGUAACAAGGGGCAAUAACCACAGAUUGUUGCUUGAAAAUCUCCACUUGGACACUAGGAAAAUUCUCAGACAUUAGGAAAAUUCUCACCUAGAUAUUAGGAAAACUCUUGACUAUUGAGUAAUGAAGAAAUGGCACAGGUUACCCAUAGAGCUUCUGGAGUCUCUGUCUGAAAAGCUUGGCUCACCAAAGCCAUGGCUAAUUGGACCAACACCAGCAAUAGAUGUGCUUGAAGUGGGAGACUGAACUAAAGAGCUCCAAAUGGUCUGUCACAACAGCAGCUCUGAGGCUUUAGUGUAGAGGUUUCCUCAUCUAUCCAAAGCGGACAAUUGCUCAAAGCUAAUCAGCAAAGGCAUCUGCAUCUUCACUUCUUGUGCUAAGAAAACAAAAUUUCCCUGGGUCUUGAAAAACAGUAUUUCUCAAGUGGACAACUGGGUAUGAGUCUUUGAUUCCACUGCUUUGUUGGAGACAGUUAAUUUCAUGCAACUUGCCAAAGCAAAUCCCUCCAGAACACCAAUUCCAUAAUAUUGCUUCUUAAGUACAUCAUCUGGAAAUAUCCUCAGCAGCAGGAGGCUUUGGUUGCUUUCAGUCCUUGAAGAGCAGCAUGACAUGCAGGCAGAGUCUGAGAGCUGUGGAGCUCACUGGGGCAGCAAAAUGCAUCCCAUCACAUCAGCAAGGAGUUCCACCAGAAAUAGCAUAUGAGGAAAGGGGUUUUUCAGCCAUUUUGAUCCAAGCAUUGGGACGAGCCUGUUCGCAGAGAGAGAGCCAGAAAGUGACUGAGCUUGAACAGGUUUAUGAAGUAGAUUAUUGCACUGGGUAACCAGGCAUUUGACAUGGUGGAGUAGGAUCAGUGACAUGGCCUAAGAGCAAAGCAGGACUUGGGAUUCCAUCCUGAAGCACAGCACUGUGCCUUGAGCUGCUGAGAACAAGACAGGAGUGACAGAACAUCUUGGAUUUCUCCUCUCCCAUCCUUGUUAUUUGUCAGCAGAAGCAGGCCAGACUCCUUCCUGAGCACUGCCUGGCUGUGUCCUCGAGAUAGAUAAGGAGACCCAUUUUGAUAUACCUUUCCUAGGCACACAGAUGUGAAGCACUCACCUAGAACUUCACAACAGUGUCAGCAUCCUAUUUGACACAGUGCCUGGUGCUAUGCACAAAUUAAUUCAACUUCUCAGAGCACUGGAAUGUCUGCCCAAAGGUAUCCCGUUCACUCUCCAUCCCUUCCAGGGAUGUCUUCUCAGCAGUCUGCUGGGUUUUCUCCCUACCUGAAAUCCUGCAGUUUCAACUAUGCCAUACAUUCACCACAAAGUAGCAGAACGCAUCUUUGUCCUUGGGAAACACCAAGCAGAAUUAUGGUGCCCAGUGCCACUGGGGAGAUGAGCUUCAGGCAGCUACUCAGACUUUGCUGCUGGCACUGCAGAGCAUUUGAUAACCAUUUCCAUGGGAACAAGCACAUAAGACACCUCAGCUUCUAAUUCUUGGAUCUCGUGAAUUAAUCAACAAUUACCUUAAGCAAGACUCACAAAGGACUUGGAGAAGAAAGGUGUCUCUUACUCCCAUGUUCAGCUGUGGUACUCACCCUG